GCCGAGACUAGAGUCACGUCUGGACAGUGCCUGUUGUCCUGAUGUGCUAGAGUACUCGAAAAGUAACCACUAAUCUAUAUUCACUGGCUGUGACCAUUCCUGUCUCAGUCAGUCACCAGAUUAGUGACAGGA
ensembl:snoRNA